rnacentral:pre_miRNA from 1 species
CUGACAGAAGAGAGUGAGCACACAAAGGCAAUUUGCAAUAUCAUUUGCAUUUGCUUCUCUUGCGUGCUCACUGCUCUAUCUGUCAG